UCAUAUGGUAAUCUGGGUUUA
rnacentral:piRNA from 1 species